rnacentral:sRNA from 1 species
UCGACUAUAACCCCUAGCCUUCCAAGCUAAUGAUGCGGGUUCGAUUCCCGCUACCCGCU